rnacentral:lncRNA from 1 species
AGCCACAUUUCAUCAUAGUCUGGGGUUUGGAGGUUGCAUUAAUAGGUAUUUCCUUUUUUGUAGAAGCACUUGUCUAACUUUUUUUUUUUUUUUUUGAGACGGAGUCUCGCUCUGUCGUCCAUGCCGAAGUGUACUGGUGCGAUAUCGGCUCACUGCAACCUCCACCUCCCGGGUUCAAGCAAUUCUCCUGCCUCAGCCUCCUGACUAACUUUUUAAUUAUUGUUGUUGGUCUUCUUUUGUUGGAGAUUUCAUGGAGAAGCCCAAUCCCAUCUGUAGGAGGUAAGCCGACAAGGUGUACUGCACAAGAAGAAAACAAUGCAGAGCUUUCAGUUUGGCCAAGAAGACAGGCUAGGUUCAAGCAGUACUUGAAGAUUUCUUGUUAACCCCAGCAUAGAGGGUAAGAGUAUACCCUCGGGGUCAGACUCCCCGGUUUAAACUCCUGGGUAACUUAGAAAGUGUUGCCUAUAUUUUCAACGUGUUGGUAGAUUUUUUCCAUCUGUGAAAUAGGAAGCAUAAGGUAAGUCUCAAAGGGUGUUGUAAGAAUUCAAUGAAAUCAUAUGUGAAAAAUGCUUUCACCAUACUUGGCCGA